GCACUACUGAGGAGUCACACAAUAAAACGAAACGGCCGUCCAGUAC
rnacentral:hammerhead_ribozyme from 1 species